ensembl:snoRNA Small nucleolar RNA SNORD2
GGGUUAAAUGAUGGUUUACCAAAUGUCUGGACUGAACUUCUAUGUGGAUAAUUUAUGUUGCUGACUAACCC